GACGAACGCUGGCGGCGUGCCUAAUACAUGCAAGUCGAGCGGGCCUCCGGAGGUGCUUGCACCUCCGGAAGGCCAGCGGCGGACGGGUGAGUAACACGUGGGCAACCUGCCUUUGAGGCCGGGAUAACACCGGGAAACCGGUGCUAAUACCGGAUACGUCCUCUUUCGCGCCUGCGAGAGGGGAGAAAGACGGUCUUUAAGGCCGUCGCUCAAAGAGGGGCCCGCGGCGCAUUAGCUGGUUGGUGGGGUAAGGGCCUACCAAGGCGACGACGCGUUGCCGACCUGAGAGGGUGAUCGGCCACACUGGGACUGAGACACGGCCCAGACUCCUGCGGGAGGCAGCAGUAGGGAAUCAUCCGCAAUGGGCGAAAGCCUGACGGUGCAACGCCGCGUGAGUGAGGAAGGUUUUCGGACCGUAAAGCUCUGUUGUGAGGGAAGAACAGCUUCCGGAGGAAAUGCCGGAGGUUUGCCGGUACCUCACCAGAAAGCCCCGGCUAACUACGUGCCAGCAGCCGCAGUAACAC
rnacentral:rRNA from 1 species